GCGGAAGUGGUGGAAUUGGCAGACACGCUAGAUUCAGGUUCUAGUUCCUUCACGGGAUUGGGGGUUCAAGUCCCCCCUUCCGCA
rfam:Candidatus Firestonebacteria bacterium RIFOXYA2_FTLL_40_8 rifoxya2_full_scaffold_2202, whole genome shotgun sequence.